UACGUAGGGUGCAAGCGUUGUCCGGAAUUAUUGGGCGUAAAGAGCUCGUAGGCGGUCUGUCGCGUCGGCUGUGAAAACUCGGGGCUCAACCCCGAGCCUGCAGUCGAUACGGGCAGACUAGAGUGCUGUAGGGGAGAUUGGAAUUCCUGGUGUAGCGGUGGAAUGCGCAGAUAUCAGGAGGAACACCGAUGGCGAAGGCAGAUCUCUGGGCCGUAACUGACGCUGAGGAGCGAAAGCGUGGGGAGCGAACAGG
rnacentral:rRNA from 1 species